CCUACGGGAGGCUGCAGUGGGGAAUAUUGGACAAUGGGGGGAACCCUGAUCCAGCCAUGCCGCGUGUGUGAAGAAGGCCCUCGGGUUGUAAAGCACUUUCAGUGAGGAAGAACGCCUGGUGGUUAAUACCCAUCAGGAAAGACAUCACUCACAGAAGAAGCACCGGCUAACUCCGUGCCAGCAGCCGCGGUAAUACGGAGGGUGCGAGCGUUAAUCGGAAUUACUGGGCGUAAAGCGCGCGUAGGUGGCUUGAUAAGCCGGUUGUGAAAGCCCCGGGCUCAACCUGGGAACGGCAUCCGGAACUGUCAAGCUAGAGUGCAGGAGAGGAAGGUAGAAUUCCCGGUGUAGCGGUGAAAUGCGUAGAGAUGGGAGGAAUACCAGUGGCGAAGGCGGCCUUCUGGACUGACACUGACACUGAGGUGCGAAAGCGUGGGUAGCAAACAGGAUUAGAUACCCUAGUAGUC
rnacentral:rRNA from 1 species